AUUGAGGACCAGGGUCGCGCCGAGAGGCCGGAGGGGGCUCCAGGCAGCCUGGAGCUGACGGCGCCGGGCUGCGUCCUCUUCACCUGGGGGUGGGGGGUGGGGGCACGUACUUUGUGACCAGGAUGGUGCCGAGCCCCCUCUACGGCGGGAGCUUGCAGGGGUGCGGGGGUGUGACUGGCGCUCCGCGGACUCGUGUCCACAGUACAGAGGACAUGUAGGGUUCGGCCGGGGCGCGGCUGCACCGGGGCCUGCCUCGCGGACCUGGACUCGGGACUCCGGGCGGCCCUGCCUGGUGCCAUUGCCUCAGCCAAGUCUCCCACCUCUCUGCUCGGUUUCCCGCCCCACCUUUCCCCUACUACCGCAUCCCUGUCCCCUCGCUUCCCUCCGCGAUGUCUCCAUCCGAGUAAGAAACGAAGCUGAACGCAUUGGUAACUGUGCUCAAGAAGAUGCAAUCGCGGGAGCCCUCAGGGUGGCGCACGGCGGAGAGGCGACGCGGGUGGCGCUGCAGAGGCGUCCCCACCCCCUCCGGGGACCGGGGCCCCGGAGCUGCCAGGCCCGCUGCACGCGGCGGCGCGGGAGAAACCACGGGGCAGCAGCGCCCCCUGCAGGUGCCGGGCGCCUCCGCAGCCGCUGCGCGGACCCGACUCUUAAGGUGGCACCACCGGGUUCCCAGCCCGCGCGCAACCCGCAGCCCUGGCUCCAUCCGCCGCACUUCUCCCUGUAGCGGCGGGCCUGACCGUCCGGAACGGCCGGAGUGUGCUGAUGCCUGCUGCUAUCUGCUUGAUCCCUUCACCCUACCUCUCAUCCAGGACUUCUUCCGCGGAUGCGCAGCUAGCGAUUUCGACAGGCGAGAUUGAAAAUUCCGGGCGAGUAUAUGAGGUUGAGUAAGUCCCGCUUCAGGGAGGAACGACCAGAAUGACAUUUCUUUAAGCCUAAAUCAAACUUUUAUUUUCGUUUAUAAAAAGCAGAAGGCCAGCAGGAAAGGGUCGCGGAGGACUGGCACAUCCACAACCGUAGGACUCUUGGAUCCAAGUUUUUAGGCUGAGACUGGGCGGUCCGGGGUUCUCCUUCGGCGCUCACACCCCGCAAACUCGUGGGCAGUGCAGUGCUGGAGGCCGGGGGCAGUGGCGGACCCGCAGGGUAACCUUGUCUCGCGCACCUCCCGAGCCCCCAGCAGCCCACUCUCGUCCGAAUGCUUUGUUUAUUUGGUGACACCAGGGAACGUGGAGAAGAAGAUCGAAGUUCAGUUUUUCUUUUUUCUUUAUUUUAAAUAUUUUUCUUAACUAAAUGGUAUGUUUAUGUGAACCCAUCAUCUCUUGGAAUUAAGUGUCCUCAGCGAACUCCAGAUUCCUAGGGGAAACCUACGUGCCCAGAGCAGGAAACGCACAAGUCAAUUCAGGUUCCGGUGCCAUCCGCAGUAAAUUCCCUUCCUUUUGCUCCAAAUUCCUCCUCUGCGUCCAGGAGAGGGACCCCCGGGACUCCCGCACACCCAGGACCGGGAGCGGCAGAGCAGAGGGCGGGUGCGAGGGCGCGAGGGAAGGGAGGCGGCCUGCGGACCUGGGGCGCGCAGUUUCCCGGCUCCGUGGGAACCUCCAACCCCGGGGCGCGCGGCCUAGGCUCCGCCCUGCCAGGCUUGGGGCCGAGCGGCCCACCUAGUGGGUCCUGACCUGGGGAAGCCGAGUCCGCGCGCGGGUCGGGCCGCGACGAGGGAAGCUCGCCUGGGCAAGUGCCGCGCGGGGUCAGACCCACCCCAGGGGUUGCAAACCGCAAGCGAAAGUCGAGAGGGGCUGGAGCUUUCCCUCUGAUCCGUUUUACACUGUGAAAACCGCAGGCCUGUCGCCUAGGCGGCCACUUUUAAAUUGGGAAGCAAAUAGACGAAAAACCAAAACAAACGUACGAGCUGACUUUUCCCAGCUAAGUUUCCCCUCAAUAAAAAGCCCGCUUUCUGGGAAAGACAGAAACUGAUCCGCGCUCACGAUUGCUUUCUUGGAGAUUCUGGGGGCACUGGGGCGCGCAGGAGGCGCGGCGACAACCCCAGCGCGCAUGGGGCAGCCUGGACUGUGCCCCUCUUACCAAGCUCCUUCCCAGGCUUCUCCGUGCUUCUCUCUCCACUGGGGUCCCGCCUCUCCACGGGUCACGCCGAGGCUAUAUGCUGCUUGCAAGGGGUCCGCGCUUUCUCGUUCGGCGGGAAAGGCACAUGUUGGAGCUCGAUGUUGGGGCUCAGGGUGUGGUUGAUUUGUCUGCUGAUCUGGGUUUCUUCCCAGCACCGGGCAGGAAGUGUAGGAGUUUGGGUCGCCAGUCCAGGGACUCGGGAAACUUCCAGGCCAACCAGAAGAAACACUUGCAGACACCUUUCGAAUGUCACAGUUUUCCCCAGGGGAAAAAGCAGAAGUUGCUGGGCACAUCACCCAGCACCCGGGCAAACUCUCCACUUACCUCGCGCCCUGCUAGGGGGUGUUGGGGGCCCUCCGGGAACCCCUAGAUGAGCAAGCAAAGUUGCAAGAAGUGGGGUGGGGAACGCUCACCCGAUAAACCAUGCACCAAACUUAAUCAGCCUGUAAUGCUUACUCUAAAUCUAGGCCCAUCUAGGCCAGGUGGGCUGAGUCUUGGGAUAGUGGGUGUCUCCUUCCUAUGUUGAUACAUUAAGGAUUCCAUAUGGACAAUUAUUUUUAGUCAAAUUUGUGGUCCUGGAGAUAGAAAGAGGAGAAGAAGAGAGAAGAAAGACAGAAGAGCUUUAUUGUUCUUUUUUUUUUUUUUUUUUUUUUGAGAUGGAGUCUCGCCCUGUUGUCCAGGCUGGAGUACAGUGGCGCCAUCUUGGCUAACUGCAACCUCCACCUCCCCGGUUCAAGCAAUUCUCCUACCUCAGCCUCCUGAGUAGCUGGGACUACAGGCAGCCGCCACCAUGACCAGCUAAUUUUUUUUUUUACUUUUAGUAGAGAUGGGGUUUCACCAUGUUAGCCAGGAUGGUCUCGAACUCCUGACCUUGUGAUCCGCCCACCUCAGCCUCCCUAGGUGCUGGGAUUACAGGCGUGAGCAACCACCCGGCCUUAUUGUUCUUAUAUUAAAACAAAAGAACCUAGAAAAAAUUGCUUGGUUAAAUUGUAGAGAGGAAGGGAGGGAAGGAAAAUGAAGGCUUUUCUUCUUUGUUCUUUAAAAGUCCAAGCACUUUCUUUCAGAAUCAAAAUGUAGAGAGGCAGUCAGUCUUGGAGCAUGCUUUUGCAUUUUAGGAUACUACUCAUUAAUUCAGUUUUAAAGCAUUCACUGGGUUGAGCACAAUUUUAAAAAGGUUCUGACUCACCCAGAUCCUGUUUGAAGCUCAACUCAUUUUGAUUGAAAGAGAUUUGAGACAAGAAUUUCAGAAGAGAAAAAUGUGUGUUACACCUGGACAUAUAUACACAUGUAACAGGGAUUGUAUUCCUUCUAGUCUAAGACAAGAGAUUCUAUGGUAAAUUAUUUAAAAAAAUUAGUUUUUUUUCUAGCAUUGUAUUGUCACCAGAAAGAAGAGUGCUGAAUUCUCUGUUUCUGCAUUUCCCAAUAAUAAAUCUCCUAGGAGAGAUAACUUUUUGCAGUUGUGCCCCCCACCCAUUUUCUCUGUGGCUUGCUUUAUUUCCCACAUAUGAAUACACACACAGCAGAUACAUCAUGCACAAACUUUUUUUAAUGUGUAAUCUGUAAAUCUAGGCCCAUUAAGUUUUCAUUGAAGUUGGGAAACUGUUGAGGACUUACUUUUGUUCUUCACCAUGCGUGCACUUUGCCAAGGAUCUUUGGUAACCAAUAAAACGAUCAUGUUCACUCUGAA
ensembl:lncRNA MIR1915HG MIR1915 host gene